UACGUAGGGUGCAAGCGUUGUUCGGAAUUAUUGGGCGUAAAGCGCGCGUAGGCGGCUUUGCAAGUCGGGUGUGAAAUCCCUCAGCUUAACUGAGGAAGUGCGCUCGAAACUGCAGAGCUUGAGUGCCAAAGAGGAUGGCGGAAUUCCCCAAGUAGAGGUGAAAUUCGUAGAUAUGGGGAGGAACACCGGUGGCGAAGGCGGCCAUCUGGGUGGUGACUGACGCUGAGGCGCGAAAGCGUGGGUAUCAAACAGG
rnacentral:rRNA from 1 species